rnacentral:rRNA from 1 species
UGAAUGGACACACGAAAGUAUUUCUGUCUCUUUUAUAUCAAUAAAAAUUGAAUUAUAGGUGAAGAUGCCUAUAUAUUUUUAAAGGACAAAAAGACCCUAUUGAGCUUUAUUUCUUAUUAAUUAAAAAAGAAAUACCACAAAUUUUUAUUAAAAGGAGAUUCUGUUGGGGCGACAAAGGAACACAAAAAACUUCCAAAAAAAAAAAGAAAACACUUCUAUUCAAUGAUCCUUAAUAGCUAAAGAAACCAGCUACCAUAGGGAUAACAGGCUAAUCAUUUUAAAGAGUUCAUAUUGAUAAAAUGGGUUGGCACCUCGAUGUUGGCUUAGGGUAUCCUAUAAGUGCAGAAG